rnacentral:rRNA from 1 species
CCUACGGGUGGCAGCAGUGGGGAAUAUUGCGCAAUGGGCGAAAGCCUGAUGCAGCGACGCCGCGUGAGGGAUGAAGGUCUUCGGAUCGUAAACCUCUGUCAGCAGGGAAGCACGGUCACUGUGCUAAUCAGCAGUGAAUUGACGGUACCUGCCAAGGAAGCACCGGCUAACUCCGUGCCAGCAGCCGCGGUAAUACGGAGGGUGCGAGCGUUAAUCGGAAUUAAUGGGCGUAAAGCGCUCGUAGGCGGUAUGUCAAGUCAAGGGUGAAAUCCCCGCGCUCAACGUGGGAACUGCCUUUGAAACUGGCAAACUGGAGUGUGUGAGAGGAUAGUGGAAUUCCAGGUGUAGGAGUGAAAUCCGUAGAUAUCUGGAGGAACAUCAGUGGCGAAGGCGACUAUCUGGCACAUAACUGACGCUGAGGAGCGAAAGCGUGGGUAGCAAACAGGAUUAGAUACCCGGGUAGUC